AACGAACGCUGGCGGCAUGGAUUAGGCAUGCAAGUCGAACGAGAAGCUCUAGCUUGCUAGAGUGGAUAGUGGCGAAAGGGUGAGUAACGCGUGGACAAUCUGCCCCUAAGAUGGGAAUAGCCUCGGGAAACUAGGAUUAAAACCGAAUGUGGUCUUCUGUCGCAUGGCAGAAAGAUUAAAAAUUUAUUGCUUAGGGAUGAGUUCGCGUUCCAUUAGCUAGUUGGUGGGGUAACGGCCUACCAAGGCAACGAUGGAUAGCUGGUCUGAGAGGAUGAUCAGCCACACUGGGACUGAGACACUGCCCAGACUCCUACGGGAGGCAGCAGUGAGGAAUAUUGGACAAUGGGGGAAACCCUGAUCCAGCAAUGCCGCGUGAGUGAUGAAGGCCUUAGGGUUGUAAAACUCUUUCAGAAGUGAAGAUGAUGACGGUAACUUCAGAAGAAGCUCCGGCUAACUCCG
rnacentral:rRNA from 1 species